CACCGCCCCGACACCGCCCGGACCCGCGAACCGCGGCCGCGCACCGGCGUUCCGGGGGCAGCGCGUUCCGGGAGCGGAGGGGAGAGGGGACGGGGGAUGAGGAGUGACAUCGAGGGUCUGAGGUCAGAGUCUUCCUUGCCCACACACAAACGUGCUGCAAAGAGGAGGAAGAGGAAGAAGAAAA